GAUGAAGAACGCAGCGAAAUGCGAUAAGUAGUGUGAAUUGCAGAAUUCAGUGAAUCAUCGAAUCUUUGAACGCACAUUGCGCCCUUUGGUAUUCCAAAGGGCAUGCCUGUUCGAGCGUCAUUUGUACCCUCAGGCUUUGCUUGGUGUUGGGCGUCUUGUCUCUAGCUUUGCUGGAGACUCGCCUUAAAGUAAUUGGCAGCCGGCCUACUGGUUUCGGAGCGCAGCACAAGUCGCACUCUCUAUCAGCAAAGGUCUAGCAUCCAUUAAGCCUUUUUUUCAACUUUUGACCUCGGAUCAGGUAGGGAUACCCGCUGAACUUAAGCAUAUCAAUAAGCGGAGGA
rnacentral:misc_RNA from 1 species